CCUACGGGGGGCAGCAGUGGGGAAUAUUGGACAAUGGGGGCAACCCUGAUCCGGCCAUGCCGCGUGUGUGAAGAAGGCCCUCGGGUUGUAAAGCACUUUCAGUGAGGAAGAACGCCUGGUGGUUAAUACCCAUCAGGAAAGACAUCACUCACAGAAGAAGCACCGGCUAACUCCGUGCCAGCAGCCGCGGUAAUACGGAGGGUGCGAGCGUUAAUCGGAAUUACUGGGCGUAAAGCGCGCGUAGGUGGCUUGAUAAGCCGGUUGUGAAAGCCCCGGGCUCAACCUGGGAACGGCAUCCGGAACUGUCAAGCUAGAGUGCAGGAGAGGAAGGUAGAAUUCCCGGUGUAGCGGUGAAAUGCGUAGAGAUCGGGAGGAAUACCAGUGGCGAAGGCGGCCUUCUGGACUGACACUGACACUGAGGUGCGAAAGCGUGGGUAGCAAACAGGAUUAGAUACCCUUGUAGUC
rnacentral:rRNA from 1 species